GUGCUCACUUUGGCAGUACAUAUACUAAAAUCAGAAUGGUUAGCAUGGCCCCUGCACAAGAAUGACAUGAAAAUUAGUGAAGCAUUCCAGAUAAUC
rnacentral:snRNA from 1 species